UUGUAGCAAUCUGCUUUGUAGAGUUCUAGAAAAAAAUGGUAUCUGUUUUUUCUUUUAAAUAUUUAAAUUUCCAUUAUUAUUAUAACAAAAUCAAUCUUUCAGAGUAAUGAUUCUCAUUAUGGAGUCAUUUGAUGAUUAAGACCAGUUGGCAUAGGAAAAAAUUGUGAUUUAGAAAUUAUGUGAUAAUUAUGAAUUGGUCUUAAGCUACAGUGUUCAUUGAUCACUUUUUAAAACUAUGAAUGGAUUCUAUUACUUUUUAUAUGACCAGAUUACAUUAAUACUAGCAUAAUUAUGAUUUCAAAUUUUUACAAAUCAGACUUAAUUCUGAAUUCAGUUAUUAGUUUUGAUAUUGCUGAAAUAUUUUAAACUUCAUCCUCUUUUUUAACAUAUUCAAAAAUACUCUUUGAAUCACUGACUCAAAAUGAAAGGCAACAAACAUAAUAAUUAGGUUAUAAUUGUUUUAAAAGUGUAUUCUUUUCCUCUGUUUUAGGAACAAGCAGAACAUAAAAAACAAUUAGAGCAGUUAAACAAGGAUAUAAUACAGCUUCACUAAAUAAGAAGGAACUCACACUUAAAGAUGUGGAAUGUAAAUUCUACAAAAUGAAAACUGCUUAUGAAGAGGUUACAACUGAGUUAGAAGAAUAUAAGGAAGCCUUUGCAGCAGCAUUGAAAGCUAAUAGUUCCAUGUCAAAAAAAUUAACUAAAUCGAAUAAGAAAAUAGCAAUGAUCAGUAUCAGCUCUUUAUGGAGAAAGAGCAGGUGAAAUAUUUUCUCAGCACUCUUCCUACAAGGCGAGGUCGAGAGUCACCUUGUGUUGAAAAUCUUACUAGUAUAGGACUCAACAGAAAAUAUAUUCCCCAAAUGCCCGUAAGAAUUCCUACUUCAAACCUCAGACUUCAAAUAACUGCCAGAACUACUUGACUGAGCUGUUGCUGUAUUGGACACUUGCUCCCAUCUACUUUCUUCUCUGGAAUCCACGGGUAAGCCACAUCUAAUGAAGAGAAUAUUUAACCAUAAAGUCUUAAGGAAAAAUUGUAUGAUGAUUUAAAAGAUUAUAAAACUUUAUCACUGGGCUAUUUACACAUUUUAAUUGUUUCUCAUAAAAUAUAUAACAUUCCAAUAUUUACUGAAGUAGGAUAUUUUUGUAUCAUAUGUAUGAUUAUAAUUUAUAGGGUAUUUUAAAUGAUGUUUUUUGGCCUCCUUAAGUUUUAAGUGGAUCUUGCAAAUGAAAACCAGUAUUAUUGAGUUUGACAUACUCAAAUUGCCCAAAUGUCAGCUGUUUAAACAACCAAGUCAUCAUUGAUACUUUAGUAAAGGUUAGUAAAGGUCAUCGAAGGCUUAUUUGCAUUUUACAGUUUUUAUUACUUAGGAGACUUAAGGAGUACCUACCAGGUUUGUCCAUGCUAAUGUUACAAUUUUCUUUUAGUAGUUCAACCGUAUUUUGUAUGGAGAUACUUUGAGGCUCUGUAAAUAUCUGGUUACUCCUCAGAACCCACUAGAUUUAGCAUUUCAUGGAUGACUUGUGUUUGAACAAUUAUUACUAUGAUGGUUACCAGAUGAUUAUUUUCUUAUUAUCUUCUUUGUUCUACAUGGAGAAAUAAAACCAAUAAAUAAGGGAGAAGGAAAGCUCAUGAUUCUGAUGCUCCAAUUCCCCAAGAUUAGGCCAGUAGUAGACAUUCCAAGCUGACUUUAUGUCUCUUUGAUUUGUCUCCAUUACUCUGUCGGCACUUUUUUACUUUGUGGCAGAAGAUGUUCUAAGCUCAGCUUGUAUUUUCUCUGCGCUAGCUCUGGAAUGAGUAAUUUUUUUUAGAAGCAGAGGUGGAGCCACUGAGGAAGCACAGGUGAGCCCUCCCCAGUGUGUACUCACUGGUCCCCAACAGAAGAACCACUGCCACAUCCACUGAGGUACCAAGAAACUAGCAAAGGGCCUUCUGGCUGUCUGGGGAGAGUCCUCAUGUGGUCCCUGGCUGUCUCAGAGGUUCUGGAUUAGUCUUCCUGUAGCCUCUGUGUUGUGUCUUUAGAUCGGGGCUCUGUGGGAAGGGCCCUGAGAGACCCAACAGCACAGCGUGCCUUAUCUGCUAAAUGUCCCUCCCUUCCUCACACUCUGACACUCAGGAAUAGGGUAGAUGGUGUGUCCAGGCAGUGUCAGGCCAUCUCACUUUCUCCUUUGAGACGGGCCCAGAGGGCCUUUGGGGUGAGUGUGGAGCUGGGAACCUGGAGCCUGAGGCCAACUGUCUCUCCCUGUGUCUUGGAGGAAAGGCCAUGUCCCAAAAAAACCCCCAGGGCCUGACCUCUGGGCACACAUGCAGGGAGGGAGGGUCUAUGAGCUGAGGGGGACAUUGUAAUGAGACUUUGAGCCCCGUUGCUCCGGGGCCUGGUCAGUGGACCAUGGUCAGAGAUGACCUGGUCAUCAGGACCUAGUCAUUUGGGACCUGAUCAGCAGGGGCCUGGUUAGUGGCGGCCUCCUCAGUAAAGGCCUCAUCAGUGGGGACCUGGUGACCUAGCCAUAGGAAGCCUGGUCAGUGGGGGAACCUAGUCAGUGGUGGCUUUAUUAGUGGGGCCUGAUCUGUUGGAACAUAAACAAUGAAAAACUGGUUGGUGGGGCAUACACAAUAUAUCACUGGCCUGGUCAGUGUGGGGCCUUAGUGGCUUGGAGGCUGGUCAGUGAGGGCCUGGUCAGAGGGGGCUCGGUCAGCUGGGUACUCGUUCAUGGAGAAUUGUUCAGUGGGGGGUCGGGUGAGCAGCAACCUGGUAAAUUGUGGUCUUGUCAGUGGGAACCCGGUCUUGUCAAUGGGGACCAGGUCAGUGGAAAAUUGGUCAGUGGGGUCUGGCCCAUGAGGCCUAUUAAGUGUGGGCCUGGUUAGGAAGACAUGGUCAGUGGGGACUUGAUCAGUGGGACCUGGUCAAUGGAGGAGUGGUCAUUAGGGGCCUCAUCACUCAUCACUGGGAACCUGGUCAGGGGCAGUUGGUCAGUAACUGGCCUGCUGGCCACUAUGUGACCUCAGGCAGGGGGGUUGUCUGUGGAGGCUCCUUGCCUCCAUCUGCAGGGAAAGUGAGUUGGGGCACCCUGGAGGGUGGCUGGAAAGAGAAGGUGAGAAGAUGUGUUGAAUCCAAUACUGCUUGGCAGACCUACAACUUUACAAAUGACCUGUGUUCCACCUAGAGAGGGUGCCAGGCCUCUCAGCAUUAUGCAGUGCCCCUCCUCUGUCUGCAUCCCCAGGACCACCAUGGGUGGGGAGGGUAGAGAUUGGGGAGCAACUAUAGAGGCUCUAAUGCUCUAAGGUGACAGUGAUGAGGACCUGGGUGCACCCAUGAGUGGAGAAGCUAGGCCUGUCCAGAGAAGCAAGACACAUACACACACACACACACACACACACACACACACACACAGGCACACAUGCAUACACAAAUACAUUGCAUACACACAUGUCAGUUCAGGGGAUAGAGGACACUGACUCUGGGCCCUGUUGACCCAAGCAGACUCCCAUGGUUGUGGGUUGUGUCACCCCACAAUGUCACUGUUGCUGAGUCCCCAUCGCCUCUGUGUUGUGGAGCAGUUAGAGACACACAGCAGUGUCUGUGAGUAGCUCUGCGUGAAGGACCAUUUUCUAGAUGAGAGGCACAUCUCAACACAGCUCACUGAUCAGAUUCAGGUGAGUGGGACCUGCUCUUUUCUCUUCCUCCUGGUUUGGGAAAAGUCACUAUCAGGUGGAUGGUUUUGGCCUCUGGGCAGCUACUGAGGGUAAUCCCUGAACACUCACCAGCUGCCUGUUAUGUGCUGACAGUCAUCUCAUUCAUCCUCGCAGCAAUUCCAUUCUGCAUCUUUUCUGAUCACCUCCGUGACCACACAGGACAACCCCAUCAGGGCCCUGUCACCAGGCCCAGUCUAGCUCCAUGAUAACCAAGACACAGGUCCAGAGACAAUCAUCCUACAUUGUGCCUGCAUCUGACCCCCCUUGGUAGGUAGUGACCAGCACUACAUGGAAGAAGCCAGGGCAGCUAGCAGCCAGCUGCUCUGCAGCCCCAAAUGGCUCCUGGGCCUUGGGAAGUCAUUCAUAAAGCGGAAGCUGGUCACUUUGAGGUCCCUGAAGGUAAGGGUGAACGUGCAUCCUAACAGCCCUGGCAGCCAGCAGCAUGCCAUACAUAUUCUCACCCAACGUGUGUGACAGAGGUCCCCUCCUGGGGCACAAGUCCCAUACCUAAAGCAUCCUGUCCCAGUCGGACCUCAUCCUGAGCCCUGGGAGGGGAGGGGCACCAUGGGCCCCCCUGCAGCAGCCAGGAUUACCACCCAUGGGACUCGGCCUUCUGUGGCCCUGGCCAGACUUAGAAUUUGGCCCAAGACAAACUUACUCGGAGCAGCUUCUCAGUACCUGGGGCCUGUGCA